rnacentral:rRNA from 1 species
UACAGAGGUGGCAAGCGUUGUUCGGAAUUACUGGGCGUAAAGGGCGCGUAGGCGGUCUUUCAAGUCCCGUGUGAAAUCCCUCGGCUCAACUGAGGAACUGCACGGGAAACUGUUUGGCUUGAGUUCGGGAGAGGGAAGCGGAAUUCCGGGUGUAGCGGUGAAAUGCGUAGAUAUCCGGAGGAACACCGGUGGCGAAGGCGGCUUCCUGGACCGACACUGACGCUGAGGCGCGAAAGCUAGGGGAGCAAACGGG